GCGGAGACGGCGUCGAGGCAGUGAGGCAACAGGGAGCGUCGCGGGCGGCACGGUGAGACCGGCGGGCAGCGUCGUGGGCAAAGCAGGAGCUUCGAAUCUCCUGGUGUCGGUCACGAGCCAAGCGGAGAGCAACCCCGGGUUGUCAGGUCACUGGAUCCGUGGCGUCGGGUCACCAAUCGGAGGUCGCGAUGAGGUUGCAAGCGAAGCGCGACGGAGCAGGGGCUUCGAAUCGACGCGGGCUCGCGGGUGGAGGUUCGAAGCGGCAGUCUGGCGUCAUGGGUGCGGCUGAGUCACAGCAGCGGCGGCGACGGGCAAGACGGCGAUGGUGCAAGCAGGCGGCGCCGGCAG
rnacentral:lncRNA from 1 species